rnacentral:rRNA from 1 species
UACGGAGGGUGCAAGCGUUGUCCGGAUUUAUUGGGUUUAAAGGGUGCGUAGGCGGCCCGUUAAGUCAGUGGUGAAAGCCUCCAGCUCAACUGGAGAACUGCCAUUGAUACUGACGGGCUUGAGUACAGACGAGGUAGGCGGAAUUGAUUGUGUAGCGGUGAAAUGCAUAGAUACAAUCAAGAACACCGAUUGCGUAGGCAGCUUACUAGGCUGUAACUGACGCUGAGGCGCGAAAGCUAGGGGAGCAAACAGG